UCCUGAGUCUCUGUCAUGUGGAGC
rnacentral:piRNA from 1 species